CCNNAGAGGGUUCGGCCCUCGGCUGACGGCUCUCUANCACGUGGAUAAUCUGCCCUUAGGUGGAGGAUAAUCUCGGGAAACUGAGGACAAUACUCCAUAGGUCUAGGAGGCUGGAAUGCAUCUAGACUAAAAGUUCCGGCGCCUAAGGAUGAGUCUGCGGGCUAUCAGGUUGUAGUCAGGGUAAAGGCCUGACUAGCCUACGACGGAUAUGGGUUGUGAGAGCAAUAACCCAGAGACGAUAUCUGAGACACGAUAUCGGGCCCUACGGGGCGCAGCAGGCGCGAAAACUUCACACUGUGCGAGAGCACGAUGAGGGAAUCCCAAGUGCCAGCACGUAAGUGUUGGCUGUUUCUCUGUCUAAAAAACAGAGAGAGUAAGAGCUGGGUAAGACGGGUGCCAGCCGCCGCGGUAAUACCUGCAGCUCAAGUGGUGGCCGCUAUUAUUGGGCCUAAAACGUCCGUAGCCGGUUUAGUAAUGCCUGGGUAAAUCGUGUAG
rnacentral:rRNA from 1 species